UGCUAGGUGCACCAUGGGUAGGUGAACGUCCUGUUAAGGCGUGGCAUGUCAGUUCGAGUCUGACCCUAGCAGCCA
rnacentral:tRNA from 1 species